rnacentral:rRNA from 1 species
UGGGGAAUAUUGCACAAUGGACGAAAGUCUGAUGCAGCAACGCCGCGUGCGGGAUGAAGGCCUUCGGGUUGUAAACCGCUUUCACCAGGGACGAAUGUGACGGUACCUGGAGAAGAAGCACCGGCUAACUACGUGCCAGCAGCCGCGGUGAUACGUAGGGUGCGAGCGUUGUCCGGAUUUAUUGGGCGUAAAGAGCUCGUAGGCGGUUUGUUGCGUCGGAAGUGAAAACUUGGGGCUUAACUCCAAGCUU